GAGUUUGAUCAUGGCUCAGAACGUACGCUGGCGGCACGCCUAACACAUGCAAGUCGAACGAAGUAGCAAUACUUAGUGGCAGACGGGUGAGUAACAUGUAGGUAUCUACCCUUUGGCCUGGAAUAACACGAGGAAACUUGUGCUAAUACCGGAUAAGUCUUUACGGAGAAAGCUUUAUGCACCAAUGGAUGAGCCUGCACUUGAUUAGUUAGUUGGUAAGGUAAUAGCUUACCAAGACUUUGAUCAAUAGCUGAUUUGUAGAGGAUGAUCAG
rnacentral:rRNA from 1 species